AUGUGCGCGAGUCAUUGGGAUAUUACUAAACCUAAAGGCGUAAUGAAAGUAAAGGUUUACCUUGCGUAGAUCGAGGGAGGAUGGGUGGUUUGCCCAUAAAGUGGCCACUCCGCACUCCCGGGGCGUCUCAUUCUCAUCGCGAGAAGAGGCGCACCAAGAGCGUACACGCUGGGACCCGAAAGAUGGUGAACUAUGCCUGGUCAGGACGAAGUCAGGGGAAACCCUGAUGGAGGUCCGUAGCGAUUCUGACGUGCAAAUCGAUCGUCGGAACUGGGUAUAGGGGCGAAAGACCAAUCGAACUAUCUAGUAGCUGGUUCCCUCCGAAGUUUCCCUCAGGAUAGCUGGCGCUCGUUGCGUACGAGUUUCAUCCGGUAAAGCGAAUGAUUAGAGGCAUUGGGGUCGAAACGACCUCAACCUAUUCUCAAACUUUAAAUGGGUGAGAUCUCCGGCUUGCUCGAGCUUAUGAAGCCGUGAGACUCGAAUCAGAGUGCCAAGUGGGCCAUUUUUGGUAAGCAGAACUGGCGCUGUGGG
rnacentral:rRNA from 1 species